UGCAUAACAAAUUAUAUUAAUUCAAUUAGUUUCUAAACACAUUAUUAUUGAAUACAAAUAAUGAAUUAGUCAACUUAAAUUAUCUAGUUACCUAGAAAAUUAUAUUUAGAAAUUACAAUAAUUAGUUGCGGGACAACCGUCGAACUGCCACCAGAUCGCCGCAUGACCACCAUUUUUCAUCGUUUUGAUUACAUCAAAAUGAUCAUAGACAAACGAUAUAGUCAUUGGAGUAAUCUUUUUGCCUAAAGUACAAUUUCGUUAGAAAUAUACUCAAACAUUUUAAACAGUAUUUUACCUAAAUAACGACAUAUGUUGGAAUUUCUAAAUCCAUAAAGUUGUAGAUCCGCUCCCCAUGACACUAUUGGUACUGGCUAUGAUGUAUGAUGUGUCUCUGGCAAAACUCUGGCGAUUGUCUUGCAAUGUUCCGUUGACAAUCCAAUGAUUGCACAGUGCUGCAUUAGAUUUUUUUCAAAUAAUUUCAUCAUAUUAAUUUAAUAAUAUAAAUAUAAAUUAUUUGUAUUAAAUUAUUUCAAUGAUUAAUUAGAUCUUAUAUAAAUAUUAGAGUUUUCACAUUAAUAAUAGACGAGGAAUAUGCGGGGAAUUUGAAAUCCUUACCCAUUUAUGGCGAAUACAAUCCCUCAACUUGAUGGAUGUUGAACUUCAAUGAAGAAUUGGAAUUGAAUUCCAUGAACUUUGGUGCAACCAAACCGUGAAAAAAGCAAACGAAAUCAAAUUCUUUUCUCCUCCUCUGAUACGGGCUUGCGAAUUGAAUUGGAUGCAAAGGACAAUUUACUAAGAGAGGAGGAAGGAGCCAAAACCGUGACUAAGGAACCCAAUAAUGAAUUCGCAGGAGCAAAACAGCAGCUCAACUUUAGACCCGAGAGAGCCAAGAAACAGCCAGGCUGGAUGAAGGACUACGCCACGUGAACCAAGACAGCAAGGGUGGAUGGAUAAUUCCUCUUAACGAUUAUCUUAAUUCUGUUAUUCUAAAUUAGAUAUUUUACAAUUGCCAGCUCAUGUUUGUCUUUUAGCCUUAGAAUACUCUAGGGGAGUCACG
rnacentral:lncRNA from 1 species